rnacentral:rRNA from 1 species
GUGGGGAAUAUUGGACAAUGGGCGAAAGCCUGAUCCAGCCAUGCCGCGUGUGUGAAGAAGGUCUUCGGAUUGUAAAGCACUUUAAGUUGGGAGGAAGGGCAGUAAGUUAAUACCUUGCUGUUUUGACGUUACCGACAGAAUAAGCACCGGCUAACUUCGUGCCAGCAGCCGCGGUAAUACGAAGGGUGCAAGCGUUAAUCGGAAUUACUGUGCGUAAAGCGCGCGUAGGUGGUUUUGUAAGUUGGAGGUGAAAUCCCCGGGCUCAACCUGGGAACUGCCUCCAAAACUGCAUGACUAGAGUACGGUAGAGGGUAGUGGAAUUUCCUGUGUAGCGGUGAAAGGCGUAGAUAUAGGAAGGAACACCAGUGGCGAAGGCGACUACCUGGACGGAUACUGACACUGAGGGGCGAAAGCGUGGGGAGCAAACAGGAUUAGAAACCCCGGUAGUCC